GAACCAAAUGUUUUAUAAUAAAAAGACCUUAUCUAGAUACUUGGAGGUAGAGAAGAAUAGUCUUAUAAUUAGUUCUCAACAGGAAGAGAAUGAUAGUUGUUAUUACAAUGUAGAAGAAAAUAGACAGGAAAUCAUAAGCAAUGAAGAAAUCUAUAUUCGCGAGUUUGACCCAGAUUCAGAUAUAGAGCCUAUAACUAGCCAAGAUGCUAGUACAAGUGACUUAUCACAAAUUUCUGAUAUAUCUACAUCAAGUAAUUUAAAUAUUUCGAAUAUAUUCAAAAUGACUCCGACGAAAUCUCGUCGGAAAUGUAUAUACUGCAAUACACAUUAUAGUUUAAAUACAGCCACAACAAAUUUAAAACGACAUAUUUCUAUAUCCCAUUCUCAUCUAAGAAUAGAAAAUAAAAAUAAAAAAAUUAAUUCUUUAGUAGGAAUAAGGAAAUUACUUCCUCAUGAAAAUACGCAAUUAAACAAAUUGAUUAUAAGAUAUAUAAUA